rnacentral:piRNA from 1 species
UGCUGGUGAAAAUGCAAAGUGAUGCAGC